UCGUCCACCUGCUGCGGCGAUAUGAAGUGAAUAUGCGAAUCGAUGCCGCCCGCCGUGAGAAUCCUGCCUUCCCCGGCAAUGAUUUCCGUGCCCGGCCCGAUGACGAUCGAGACGCCGGGCUGCGUAUCCGGGUUUCCGGCCUUGCCGAUAAGGGCGAUGCGUCCGUCGCGCAGGCCUACAUCGGCCUUGUAGAUGCCGCUAUGGUCGAGAAUGAGCGCAUUGGUGAUGACCGUAUCCAUCGCGCCUUCGGCACGCGAUAGCUGGCUCUGGCCCAUGCCGUCGCGG
rnacentral:sRNA from 1 species